UGGGGAAUAUUGCACAAUGGGGGAAACCCUGAUGCAGCAACGCCGCGUGAAGGAUGAAGGUUUUCGGAUCGUAAACUUCUUUGAUGAGGGAUGAAAAAAAUGACGGUACCUCAAAAACAAGCCACGGCUAACUACGUGCCAGCAGCCGCGGUAAUACGUAGGUGGCGAGCGUUGUCCGGAAUUACUGGGUGUAAAGGGCGUGUAGGCGGGAAGGUAAGUCAGAUGUGAAAUUCCAUGGCUCAACUGUGGCACUGCAUCUGAAACUAUCUUUCUUGAGUGAUGGAGAGGAAAGCGGAAUUCCUAGUGUAGCGGUGAAAUGCGUAGAUAUUAGGAGGAACACCAGUGGCGAAGGCGGCUUUCUGGACAUUAACUGACGCUGAGGCGCGAAAGCGUGGGGAGCAAACAG
rnacentral:rRNA from 1 species